rnacentral:rRNA from 1 species
CCUACGGGAGGCAGCAGUGAGGAAUAUUGGUCAAUGGGCGCAAGCCUGAACCAGCCAUGCCGCGUGCAGGAAGACGGUCCUAUGGAUUGUAAACUGCUUUUAUACAGGAAGAAACCUCCCUACGUGUAGGGACUUGACGGUACUGUAGGAAUAAGGAUCGGCUAACUCCGUGCCAGCAGCCGCGGUAAU